AUACUUACCUAGCAAGGGAGACAGCAUGAUCAUGAAGGUGGUUUUCCCAGGGUGAGGCUCAUCCAUUGUACUCUGAGUGUGCUGACCCCUGCGAUUUCCCCAAAUGCAGGAAACUCGACUGCAUAAUUUGUGGUAGUGGAGGAUUGCUUUUAUGCUUUCCCCUA
rnacentral:snRNA from 1 species